AUGGCUGCAAGAGCUUUGCUGGUGGUUUUCCUCCCACUUCUCCUUCUGGUUGUCGCUUCCAGUGCCGACGACGGCGCCUGUGGCCUGCAGCCGAUAAGCCGGAGGAGCUUCCCCAAGGGCUUCAUCUUUGGGACGGCCUCCUCGUCGUACCAGUAUGAGGGUGGUGCAAUGGAGGGGGGCAGGGGAUCAAGCAUCUGGGACAACUUCACUCACCGGCACCCAGAUAAAAUCACCGACAAGAGCAAUGGGGAUGUGGCAGUGGACUCCUACCAUCUUUACAAGGAAGAUGUGCGCCUCAUGAAGGAUAUGGGAAUGGACGCAUACAGGUUCUCCAUCUCAUGGACGAGAAUUCUUCCAGAUGGAACUCUAAGAGGUGGAGUCAACCGAGAAGGUAUUAAGUAUUACAACAACUUGAUCGAUGAGUUGUUGUCAAAAGGGGUGCAACCAUUUGUGACCCUUUUUCACUGGGACUCUCCACAAGGAUUGGAAGAUAAAUAUGGAGGAUUUCUUAGCCCUAAUAUCAUAAAUGACUAUAAAGACUUUGCUGAAGUAUGCUUCAGAGAAUUCGGAGAUCGGGUGAAGCAUUGGAUCACAUUGAACGAGCCCUGGUCCUUCAGCGUUUCAGGUUAUGCACGGGGCAUAGCUGCACCUGGCCGGUGUUCUCCCUGGGAGGAGGCAAACUGUAGUGACGGGGAUUCAGGGAGGGAGCCAUACAUUGUUGGCUACCAUCAGAUACUCGCUCAUGCAGAAGCUGUGAGAUUGUAUAAACAGAAAUAUAAGGGUGUACAAAAGGGCAAGAUCGGAAUAGCUUUGGUCUCAUAUUGGGUUACUCCCUUAUCCUGUACAAAAUCUAGUGUUGUUGCGAUGAAACGUGCUAUAGAAUUCAUGCUUGGAUGGAGACUACCCCAGAGCAUGAAAGUAUUGGUCAGAAACCGCCUGCCACAGUUCACCAGACAACAGUCUAAAUUGGUGAAGGGUGCAUUUGACUUCAUUGGAAUCAACUACUACAGUACAAACUACGCUUACAGCCUUCCUCCAUCUAAUUGCUUGAGGAACAGCUACUCUACUGAUGCUCAAGCUAAUCUUACGGGUGAGUCGAUCAUGCUCAAUCAACGAUCAAUCUGUGCUGCUUCGCCUUGGCUCUACGUCUACCCUCAAGGCCUCCAUGAUAUCCUAAUUUUUCUCAAGGAGAAGUACCACAAUCCAACCAUCUACAUCACUGAAAAUGGAUUCGAUGAAGCCAACAACAAGAGCCUACCACUAAAUGAAGCCCUCAAGGACGAUGCCAGGAUAGACUACCACCACAGGCACCUUGUUGCCCUGCUGAGUGCGAUCAGGGACGGGGCAAACGUGAAGGGGUAUUUCGUGUGGUCGCUGCUCGACAACUUUGAGUGGGAGAGCGGGUACACAGUGCGGUUUGGGUUACACUUUGUGGACUACAACCAUGGUCUAAAGCGGUACCCCAAGCGCUCUGCUGGCUGGUUCAAGAAUUUUCUCAAUCUUGAUCUCACAGAUAACCUGGAAACCAGCGACAAAUAA
rnacentral:rRNA from 1 species